UACGCAGGGUGCAAGCGUUACUCGGAAUUACUGGGCGUAAAGCGUGCGUAGGCGGUUUGUUAAGUCUGUCGUGAAAGCCCUGGGCUCAACCUGGGAAUUGCGAUGGAUACUGGCAAGCUAGAGUACGGUAGAGGAUGGUGGAAUUCCCGGUGUAGCGGUGAAAUGCGUAGAGAUCGGGAGGAACACCCGUGGCGAAGGCGGCCAUCUGGACCAGUACUGACGCUGAGGCACGAAAGCGUGGGGAGCAAACAGG
rnacentral:rRNA from 1 species